rnacentral:rRNA from 2 species
CGUCAUAGAGGGUGAGAACCCCGUAUGUGACCGGUGACCAACCCCAUGUGAAACCCCUUCGACGAGUCGAGUUGUUUGGGAAUGCAGCUCAAAAUGGGUGGUAAAUUUCAUCUAAAGCUAAAUACCGGCCAGAGACCGAUAGCGCACAAGUAGAGUGAUCGAAAGAUGAAAAGCACUUUGGAAAGAGAGUCAAACAGUACGUGAAAUUGUUGAAAGGGAAGCGCUUGCGACCAGACCUGUCCGCGGGUGAUCAACCGUUAUUCUUAACGGUGCACUCGCCCGCGAUCAGGCCAGCAUCGGUUCGGGCGGAUGGAUAAAGGCCUCGGGAAUGUAGCUUCCUUCGGGGAGUCUUAUAGCCCUUGGUGCAAUGCAGCCAGCCCGGACCGAGGACCGCGCUUCGGCUAGGAUGCUGGCGUAAUGGUCGUAAGCGACCCGUCUUGAAACACGGACCAAGGAGUCUAACAUCUAUGCGAGUGUUUGGGUGUUAAACCCAUGCGCGGAAUGAAAGUGAACGGAGGUGGGAACCCUUAAGGGCGCACCAUCGACCGAUCCAGAUGUCUUCGGAUGGAUUUGAGUAUGAGCAUAGCUGUUGGGACCCGAAAGAUGGUGAACUAUGCCUGAAUAGGGUGAAGCCAGAGGAAACUCUGGUGGAGGCUCGCAGCGGUUCUGACGUGCAAAUCGAUCGUCAAAUUUGGGUAUAGGGGCGAAAGACUAAUCGAACCAUCUAGUAGCUGGUUCCUGUCGAAGUUUCCCUCAGGA